rnacentral:rRNA from 1 species
AUUGAACGCUGGCGGCAGGCCUAACACAUGCAAGUCGAGCGGAUGAAGGGAGCUUGCUACUGGAUUCAGCGGCGGACGGGUGAGUAAUGCCUAGGAAUCUGCCUGGUAGUGGGGGAUAACGUCCGGAAACGGGCGCUAAUACCGCAUACGUCCUGAGGGAGAAAGUGGGGGAUCUUCGGACCUCACGCUAUCAGAUGAGCCUAGGUCGGAUUAGCUAGUUGGUGGGGUAAAGGCCUACCAAGGCGACGAUCCGUAACUGGUCUGAGAGGAUGAUCAGUCACACUGGAACUGAGACACGGUCCAGACUCCUACGGGAGGCAGCAGUGGGGAAUAUUGGACAAUGGGCGAAAGCCUGAUCCAGCCAUGCCGCGUGUGUGAAGAAGGUCUUCGGAUUGUAAAGCACUUUAAGUUGGGAGGAAGGGCAGUAAGUUAAUACCUUGCUGUUUUGACGUUACCAAAAGAAUAAGCACCGGCUAACUUCGUG